rnacentral:rRNA from 1 species
UACGGAGGGUGCAAGCGUUAAUCGGAAUUACUGGGCGUAAAGGGUGCGUAGGCGGUUGUUUAAGUCUGUUGUGAAAUCCCCGGGCUCAACCUGGGAAUGGCAAUGGAUACUGGGCAGCUAGAGUGUGUCAGAGGAUGGUGGAAUUCCCGGUGUAGCGGUGAAAUGCGUAGAGAUCGGGAGGAACACCCGUGGCGAAGGCGGCACUCUGGGUCGCACCUGACGCUGAGACGCGAAAGCGUGGGGAGCGAACGGG